ACCCUUCGUAGUCCGAUUUGAGCACUGAAGGUUGCUGACUGUGUAGUGGGCAAAGGAUCAAGUGAUGCCGUUUCGCCUGACACGUUCACAGCAGAAGUGAGCUCAGACGCAGUCCCUGAUGUCAGGUCACCAGCUACUCCAGCCUGCAGGAGGGACCUUCCCACCCCCAAGACCUUUGUACUUCGUUCUGUACUGAAGAAACCCUCUGUUAAGAUGUGUCUAGAGAGCUUACAGGAACACUGUAACAACCUCUAUGAUGAUGAUGGGACUCAUCCGAGCUUAAUCUCAAAUCUCCCAAACUGUUGCAAAGAGAAAGAAGCAGAAGAUGAAGAAAAUUUUGAAGCACCUGCCUUUCUAAAUAUGAGGAAGAGGAAGAGAGUUACUUUUGGAGAGGACUUAAGCCCGGAAGUGUUUGAUGAAUCUUUGCCAGCAAAUACUCCAUUGCGUAAAGGAGGAACACCUGUUUGUAAAAAAGACUUCAGUGGUCUCAGUUCCCUGCUGCUUGAGCAGUCACCUGUUCCUGAGCCAUUACCUCAACCAGAUUUUGAUGACAAGGGGGAGAAUCUUGAAAACAUAGAACCACUUCAAGUAUCAUUUGCCGUUCUCAGUUCUCCUAAUAAAUCAUCAAUCUCUGAGACCCUUUCAGGCACUGAUACCUUUAGUUCUUCAAAUAGCCAUGAGAAAAUAUCCUCUCCUAAAGUUGGUAGAAUAACAAGGACUUCUAACAGAAGAAAUCAAUUGGUCAGUGUUGUAGAAGAGAGUGUUUGCAACUUAUUGAAUACAGAAGUUCAGCCUUGUAAAGAAAAGAAAAUUAAUAGGAGGAAGUCUCAAGAAACAAAGUGUACAAAGAGAGCACUUCCUAAGAAGAGUCAGGUUUUAAAAAGUUGCAGAAAGAAGAAAGGAAAGGGAAAGAAAAGUGUUCAGAAAUCUUUAUAUGGGGAAAGAGACAUUGCAUCUAAGAAGCCCCUCCUCAGUCCUAUUCCCGAGCUGCCUGAAGUCUCUGAGAUGACACCUUCCGUUCCGAGCAUCCGAAGACUGGGUUCAGGUUAUUUCAGUUCAAAUGGCAAACUGGAAGAAGUGAAGACUCCUAAAAAUCCAGUGAAAAGAAAGGAUCUUUUGCCUCAUGACCCAGAUUUGCAUAUGCAUCAAGGCUAUGAUAAAUAUGUUGUCUCUGAAUUCUGCUCUUAUAUAAAAAGUUCCUCAUCGCUUGGCAAUGCUACUUCUGAUGAAGAUCCAAAUACAAAUAUAAUGAACAUUAAUGAAAAUAAAAAUAUUCCAAAAGCAAAAAAUAAGUCAGAAAGUGAAAAUGAACCAAAAGCUGGAACUGACAGUCCUGUUUCUUGUGCUUCUGUAACUGAAGAACGUGUGGCAUCAGAUAGUCCCAAACCUGCUCUGACCGUGCAGCAGGGUCAAGAAUUUUCUGCUGCUGGUCAAAAUGCAGAAAACCUUUGUCAGUUCUUUAAAAUUUCACCAGAUUUAAACAUAAAGUGUGAAAGAAAGGAUGACUUCUUAGGAGCUGCAGAAGGAAAACUGCAAUGCAAUCGUUUAAUGCCUAAUUCGCAAAAAGACUGUCAUUGUUUAGGAGAUGUCUUAAUUGAAAAUACGAAAGAAUCUAAAAGCCAGAAUGAGGAUUUGGGAAGAAAACCCAUGGAAAGUAGCAGUGUUGUGAGUUGCAGAGACAGGAAAGAUAGAAGACGUUCCAUGUGUUAUUCUGAUGGUCAAAGUUUACAUUUGGAAAAAAAUGGAAAUCACACACCAUCCUCCAGUGUGGGCAGCUCUGUAGAAAUUAGUUUAGAAAAUUCUGAACUGUUUAAAGAUUUGUCUGAUGACAUUGAGCAAACCUUUCAGAGGAGAAAUAGUGAAACCAAAGUGCGACGUAGCACGAGGCUACAGAAGGAUUUAGAAAACGAAGGGCUUGUAUGGAUUUCACUUCCACUUCCUUCCACUUCCCAAAAAGCCAAAAGAAGAACAAUAUGUACAUUUGACAGCAGUGGAUUUGAAAGUAUGUCUCCCAUAAAAGAAACUGUGUCCUCCAGACAAAAACCGCAGAUGGCACCUCCCGUCUUGGAUCCAGAAAACAGCCAGGGCCCUGCUGCUGGUUCUUCCGAUGAACCUGGUAAGAGGAGGAAGAGCUUUUGUAUAUCUACACUUGCAAAUACUAAAGCCACUUCCCAGUUCAAAGGCUACCGGAGAAGAUCCUCUCUUAAUGGGAAGGGAGAGAGCUCUCUGACUGCCUUGGAAAGGAUUGAACAUAAUGGAGAAAGAAAGCAGUAAUUGACAUUUCCUGCAGAGUCUGUGGCAAGAGGGAGAGUAACCAUCUAUGCUGAAAUGAUCUGUCUAGUUCCCAUUCUCUGUUCAACCUCAGUGUUUCAAAAGUUCCUAAUAAAUAAACUCAUUUGAGUUGAACCU
rnacentral:sRNA from 1 species